UGAAUCACACAGCAAAGGAAAAUGCUUGUUAAAAUACCAAACAAAUAAAUGCACAAACAAACAGAUUAGAGGUGGGGACGCAGCUCUGUGCUAAAGCCGGUGCUAGCUCUUCUGCUCCUGUCCCCAAGACCACAGUGAAAAAGAAAAUAUAAUUUUCAAAAAAGCAGAAUAUUAGGAGGGGGAUGAAGUCUAAAAGCCACUGCGUUAACGUUUCAGCCAACUCUGUUGCAGCCUGUGACAUCGACCUCCACAGUGCUCAAGGCCUGGAUAUUUUUGUUCUUGGGGUGAUUCUUUGACUACCGUUGAGAGGGCAGCCAAUGGAAUCAUCUGGAACAAAAAAGAAAAAAGAAAAAGGAAAACAAAAACAAAACAAAAAACAACCCCCACAAUCCAGGAUGCGAGAGGACGGAGGGCUCUGUACAUGUGAAGCAUUUGUACCAAGAACAGCGUCAGGAUCAGUGGUAAAAACUCUCUCUCUCUCUCUCUCUCUCUCUCUCUCUCUCUCUCUCUCUCUGUGUGUGUGUGUGUGUGUGUGUGUGUGUGUGUCUUAAGCCCAGUGAACAUGGCGUUUAAUUUUCUUUAAAGAAAAGAAGGGGCUGUUGAAAAUUUCAUUUUCUUCAUAGG
rnacentral:lncRNA from 1 species